ACUAUUAAACAAGUACUGUCAGGUUCAUAUAGUAACCAGCAAUAUAUUAAAUUUAAACAGCAUUUUCACGGUGUGCGAGUAAAUCAGAAAUACAGUAAUAAAUGACACAAGUGUAUUUAGAAGCCAUUAGGAUUUAUUUGCAUUUGAAGAUAGUUGCAAAUUUGAUUUUCAAUCAUAGUCAAGUCAUCUGGCAAACCUCAUUCAACAAUGACAUCGACAAUAUAAUAUUCAUUUUACAUUUACACUGAUAUAUUAUAAUGAUUUCACAGAUAUCUAGAAAAUAAUGAUUCUAUGGACAUAUACACACAUAUCUUACAUAUACAACUAGCAAAAUUUACUACAGUAAAGCCUAUCAUCUAAUAAAUAAAAUAAAAUAUUUACAUACCUCAUGUACAAGUAUAUAAUGAAUAAGAAAUCAACAGAUUCUAUGGAGGGAAAAGGUAGAUAUUUCUAUAUCAUUUAUCAUAACUGAUUUAUAAAUAUAUUUCAACCAGUCUUCAAAAAAAUAAAUAAUCAUAAACCAAUAAAUACCCUUGAUUAUAAAACCCUAAAUUCGGUCAUCCAUAAAAAAGUAAAAAAUUUAACAAUAUUUACUAUUUCCUGUACUUCACAAGUCAAAUAUAUUGAAUGGCAUAUAUCAAAAUCAAAGAUUUUUUUCUUAUUCCAUUAUUUUAUCAAUGCUGUAUUAUCACAUCUAUAUUUUCUUGAUAAUCAUGAAAUGUAAAGACAUAUUGGAUCUAAUAAAGAAUGAUGAAGAAAGGAAUUAGCUCUUUCCAAAAAAAAAAAAAAAUCAGAAAUUGAUAGAGACAUAAUCACAAAAUAAAGCAUCUUUCAAAAUCUUGGAAUUAUUUUUAUUGUAAGGCAUUUUGAUUGAGAUGAAAGACCUGUAAAGGCACAGAAUAGAACUCUGGAAUGAUUUCAGAUCAAUGCAUUAAGCUCCUUUCAAAAACGUUUUAACAGAUAUACAGCAUUACACAAAUGCUGUGAAACAUCAUCACUUAGGUGAAUAUCAUAAAUCACUAAAAAUUCAUUUAUGUAGUGCAAUGUAUACAAUCAUGUAGAAUAAUUCAAAAGUAACUACACAUAUAGUUAUUCCUGUAGAAAUAUGAAUUUGCUCCCCCAAAAAAACAAAAAAAAAAAAAAAUCAUGAAAGAUUUUUUCCCUUAAUACUCUCUCUAAUUAUACAUUAUUGCAUUUUCCUCCAGAUUUCAAGUUCAUCCACCCCUCUCACAUUUUUUUCCUUAUGGCCCUGGGACCAAACCAACCACAAAAUUAUUCUACAUUGUACAAAUAAAAUAGAUAUUUAUGUAGUGGAAUCCAAUUAGAACACAGUAUUGCUACAACAAAAGACCUGCAGAAUAUUGUAAAGUAACCCUUUUUGUGUUUUUAACAAUAUUGAAAAUGGAAUAAAGUUCAUUGAUUCCUCAUUAGCCAAAAGACAUUCAUUCACCACUAUUCACACAAGACAAAACAUUAAUAAAAGAUACAUGUUGGCAAUAGCAAGCUUAAGUCACUGACAGUCAAGAUGAACAAGAAAAAAAUGUACAAGAAUUUUCUUUUUGGUUUGUGCUAUGCAUAAUAAUGAUUUAUAAGCACUUAGAUAAGUACAGUGGAUGUCUCAA